UACGAAGGAUCCUAGCGUUGUCCGGAUUUACUGGGUUUAAAGCGUGCGCAGGCGGCCAUCCAAGUCAGUGGGGAAAGCCCGGAGCUCAACUCCGGAAUUGCCAUUGAAACUGUUUGGCUCGAGUACGAGAGAGGUGAGUGGAAUUCCCAGUGUAGAGGUGAAAUUCGUAGAUAUUGGGAAGAACACCGGUGGCGAAGGCGGCUCACUGGCUCGUAACUGACGCUCAUGCACGACAGCGUGGGGAUCAAACAGG
rnacentral:rRNA from 1 species